rnacentral:rRNA from 1 species
AGAGUUUGAUCCUGGCUCAGGAUGAACGCUAGCUACAGGCUUAACACAUGCAAGUCGAGGGGCAUCAGGAAGAAAGCUUGCUUUCUUUGCUGGCGACCGGCGCACGGGUGAGUAACACGUAUCCAACCUGCCCUUUACUCGGGGAUAGCCUUUCGAAAGAAAGAUUAAUACCCGAUGGCAUAAUGAUUCCGCAUGGUUUCAUUAUUAAAGGAUUCCGGUAAAGGAUGGGGAUGCGUUCCAUUAGGUUGUUGGUGAGGUAACGGCUCACCAAGCCUUCGAUGGAUAGGGGUUCUGAGAGGAAGGUCCCCCACAUUGGAACUGAGACACGGUCCAAACUCCUACGGGAGGCAGCAGUGAGGAAUAUUGGUCAAUGGGCGCUAGCCUGAACCAGCCAAGUAGCGUGAAGGAUGAAGGCUCUAUGGGUCGUAAACUUCUUUUAUAUAAGAAUAAAGUGCAGUAUGUAUACUGUUUUGUAUGUAUUAUAUGAAUAAGGAUCGGCUAACUCCGUGCCAGCAGCCGCGGUAAUACGGAGGAUCCGAGCGUUAUCCGGAUUUAUUGGGUUUAAAGGGAGCGUAGGUGGACUGGUAAGUCAGUUGUGAAAGUUUGCGGCUCAACCGUAAAAUUGCAGUUGAUACUGUCAGUCUUGAGUACAGUAGAGGUGGGCGGAAUUCGUGGUGUAGCGGUGAAAUGCUUAGAUAUCACGAAGAACUCCGAUUGCGAAGGCAGCUCACUGGACUGCAACUGACACUGAUGCUCGAAAGUGUGGGUAUCAAACAGGAUUAGAUACCCUGGUAGUCCACACAGUAAACGAUGAAUACUCGCUGUUUGCGAUAUACAGUAAGCGGCCAAGCGAAAGCAUUAAGUAUUCCACCUGGGGAGUACGCCGGCAACGGUGAAACUCAAAGGAAUUGACGGGGGCCCGCACAAGCGGAGGAACAUGUGGUUUAAUUCGAUGAUACGCGAGGAACCUUACCCGGGCUUAAAUUGCAGUGGAAUGAUGUGGAAACAUGUCAGUGAGCAAUCACCGCUGUGAAGGUGCUGCAUGGUUGUCGUCAGCUCGUGCCGUGAGGUGUCGGCUUAAGUGCCAUAACGAGCGCAACCCUUAUCUUCAGUUACUAACAGGUCAUGCUGAGGACUCUGGAGAGACUGCCGUCGUAAGAUGUGAGGAAGGUGGGGAUGACGUCAAAUCAGCACGGCCCUUACGUCCGGGGCUACACACGUGUUACAAUGGGGGGUACAGAAGGCAGCUAGCGGGUGACCGUAUGCUAAUCCCAAAAGCCUCUCUCAGUUCGGAUCGAAGUCUGCAACCCGACUUCGUGAAGCUGGAUUCGCUAGUAAUCGCGCAUCAGCCACGGCGCGGUGAAUACGUUCCCGGGCCUUGUACACACCGCCCGUCAAGCCAUGGGAGCCGGGGGUACCUGAAGUACGUAACCGCAAGGAUCGUCCUAGGGUAAAACUGGUGACUGGGGCUAAGUCGUAACAAGGUAGCCGUACCGGAAGGUGCGGCUGGAACACCU